AGUGAACGCUGGCGGUAGGCCUAACACAUGCAAGUCGAACGGCAGCACAGUAAGAGCUUGCUCUUACGGGUGGCGAGUGGCGGACGGGUGAGGAAUACAUCGGAAUCUACUUUUUCGUGGGGGAUAACGUAGGGAAACUUACGCUAAUACCGCAUACGACCUACGGGUGAAAGCAGGGGAUCUUCGGACCUUGCGCGAUUGAAUGAGCCGAUGUCGGAUCAGCUAGUUGGCGGGGUAAAGGCCCACCAAGGCGACGAUCCGUAGCUGGUCUGAGAGGAUGAUCAGCCACACUGGAACUGAGACACGGUCCAGACUCCUACGGGAGGCAGCAGUGGGGAAUAUUGGACAAUGCGCGCAAGCCUGAUCCAGCCAUACCGCGUGGGUGAAGAAGGCCUUCGGGUUGUAAAGCCCUUUUGAUGGGAAAGAAAAGCAGCAGGUUAAUACCCCGCUGUUCUGACGGUACCCAAAGAAUGAGCACCGGCUAACUUAGUG
rnacentral:rRNA from 1 species